rnacentral:rRNA from 1 species
AGCAGCCGCGGUAAUUCCAGCUCCAAUAGCGUAUAUUAAAGUUGUUGCAGUUAAAAAGCUCGUAGUUGAAUUUCGGGAUCGAAUUGUUGGUCGUGCCUCGGUACGCACUGGCAUUAUCGGUUCCUACCUUCUGAAGAACCGCGAUGUCAUUAAUUUGGUGUCGUGGGGAAUCAGGACUGUUACUUUGAAAAAAUUAGAGUGUUUAAAGCAGGCUUACGCUUGAAUACAUUAGCAUGGAAUAAUGAAAUAGGACGUUUGAUUCUAUUUUGUUGGUUUCUAGGAUCGACGUAAUGAUUAAUAGGGAUAGUUGGGGGCAUUAGUAUUCAAUUGUCAGAGGUGAAAUUCUUGGAUUUAUUGAAGACUAACUACUGCGAAAGCAUUUGCCAAGGAUGUUUUCAUUAAUCAAGAACGAAAGUUAGGGGAUCGAAGACGAUCAGAUACCGUCGUAGUCUUAACCAUAAACUAUGCCGACUAGGGAUCGGAUGA